GAACGCUAGCUACAGGCUUAACACAUGCAAGUCGAGGGGCAUCAGGAAGAAAGCUUGCUUUCUUUGCUGGCGACCGGCGCACGGGUGAGUAACACGUAUCCAACCUGCCCUUUACUCGGGGAUAGCCUUUCGAAAGAAAGAUUAAUACCCGAUAGCAUAAUGAUUCCGCAUGGUUUCAUUAUUAAAGGAUUCCGGUAAAGGGUGGGGAUGCGUUCCAUUAGGUUGUUGGUGAGGUAACGGCCCACCAAGCCUUCGAUGGAUAGGGGUUCUGAGAGGAAGGUCCCCCACAUUGGAACUGAGACACGGUCCAAACUCCUACGGGAGGCAGCAGUGAGGAAUAUUGGUCAAUGGGCGCUAGCCUGAACCAGCCAAGUAGCGUGAAGGAUGAAGGCUCUAUGGGUCGUAAACUUCUUUUAUAUAAGAAUAAAGUGCAGUAUGUAUACUGUUUUGUAUGUAUUAUAUGAAUAAGGAUCGGCUAACUCCGUGCCAGCAGCCGCGGUAAUACGGAGGAUCCGAGCGUUAUCCGGAUUUAUUGGGUUUAAAGGGAGCGUAGGUGGACUGGUAAGUCAGUUGUGAAAGUUUGCGGCUCAACCGUAAAAUUGCAGUUGAUACUGUCAGUCUUGAGUACAGUAGAGGUGGGCGGAAUUCGUGGUGUAGCGGUGAAAUGCUUAGAUAUCACGAAGAACUCCGAUUGCGAAGGCAGCUCACUGGACUGCAACUGACACUGAUGCUCGAAAGUGUGGGUAUCAAACAGGAUUAGAUACCCUGGUAGUCCACACAGUAAACGAUGAAUACUCGCUGUUUGCGAUAUACAGUAAGCGGCCAAGCGAAAGCAUUAAGUAUUCCACCUGGGGAGUACGCCGGCAACGGUGAAACUCAAAGGAAUUGACGGGGGCCCGCACAAGCGGAGGAACAUGUGGUUUAAUUCGAUGAUACGCGAGGAACCUUACCCGGGCUUAAAUUGCAGUGGAAUGAUGUGGAAACAUGUCAGUGAGCAAUCACCGCUGUGAAGGUGCUGCAUGGUUGUCGUCAGCUCGUGCCGUGAGGUGUCGGCUUAAGUGCCAUAACGAGCGCAACCCUUAUCUUUAGUUACUAACAGGUUAUGCUGAGGACUCUAGAGAGACUGCCGUCGUAAGAUGUGAGGAAGGUGGGGAUGACGUCAAAUCAGCACGGCCCUUACGUCCGGGGCUACACACGUGUUACAAUGGGGGGUACAGAAGGCAGCUAGCGGGUGACCGUAUGCUAAUCCCAAAAUCCUCUCUCAGUUCGGAUCGAAGUCUGCAACCCGACUUCGUGAAGCUGGAUUCGCUAGUAAUCGCGCAUCAGCCACGGCGCGGUGAAUACGUUCCCGGGCCUUGUACACACCGCCCGUCAAGCCAUGGGAGCCGGGGGUACCUGAAGUACGUAACCGCAAGGAUCGUCCUAGGGUAAAACUGGUGACUGGGGCU
rnacentral:rRNA from 1 species